rnacentral:rRNA from 1 species
AUUGCGUAGCCGCCUGGAGAGGUGAUCGGCACUGGACUGAGAACCAGACUACGGAGGCAGCAGUAGGAUCUCGCAAUGGACGAAAGUCUGACGGAGCCGCGUGAGUGAUGAAAGGUUUUCGGAUCGUAAAGCUCUGUUGUUAGGGAAGAACAAGUACCGUUCGAAUAGGGCGGUACCUUGACGGUACCUAACCAGAAAGCCACGGCUAACUACGUGCCAGCAGCCGCGGUAAUACGUAGGUGGCAAGCGUUGUCCGGAAUUAUUGGGCGUAAAGGGCUCGCAGGCGGUUUCUUAAGUCUGAUGUGAAAGCCCCCGGCUCAACCGGGGAGGGUCAUUGGAAACUGGGGAACUUGAGUGCAGAAGAGGAGAGUGGAAUUCCACGUGUAGCGGUGAAAUGCGUAGAGAUGUGGAGGAACACCAGUGGCGAAGGCGACUCUCUGGUCUGUAACUGACGCUGAGGAGCGAAAGCGUGGGGAGCGAACAGGAUUAGAUACCCUGGUAGUCCACGCCGUAAACGAUGAGUGCUAAGUGUUAGGGGGUUUCCGCCCCUUAGUGCUGCAGCUAACGCAUUAAGCACUCCGCCUGGGGAGUACGGUCGCAAGACUGAAACUCAAAGGAAUUGACGGGGGCCCGCACAAGCGGUGGAGCAUGUGGUUUAAUUCGAAGCAACGCGAAGAACCUUACCAGGUCUUGACAUCCUCUGACAAUCCUAGAGAUAGGACGUCCCCUUCGGGGGCAGAGUGACAGGUGGUGCAUGGUUGUCGUCAGCUCGUGUCGUGAGAUGUUGGGUUAAGUCCCGCAACGAGCGCAACCCUUGAUCUUAGUUGCCAGCAUUCAGUUGGGCACUCUAAGGUGACUGCCGGUGACAAACCGGAGGAAGGUGGGGAUGACGUCAAAUCAUCAUGCCCCUUAUGACCUGGGCUACACACGUGCUACAAUGGACAGAACAAAGGGCAGCGAAACCGCGAGGUUAAGCCAAUCCCACAAAUCUGUUCUCAGUUCGGAUCGCAGUCUGCAACUCGACUGCGUGAAGCUGGAAUCGCUAGUAAUCGCGGAUCAGCAUGCCGCGGUGAAUACGUUCCCGGGCCUUGUACACACCGCCCGUCACACCACGAGAGUUUGUAACACCCGAAGUCGGUGAGGUAACCUUUAGGAGCCAGCCGCCGAAUGGUGACACGU